UACGUAGGGUGCAAGCGUUGUCCGGAAUUAUUGGGCGUAAAGAGCUCGUAGGCGGUCUGUCGCGUCUGCUGUGAAAAUCCAGGGCUCAACCCUGGACCUGCAGUGGGUACGGGCAGACUUGAGUUCGGUAGGGGAGACUGGAAUUCCUGGUGUAGCGGUGAAAUGCGCAGAUAUCAGGAGGAACACCGGUGGCGAAGGCGGGUCUCUGGGCCGAUACUGACGCUGAGGAGCGAAAGCGUGGGGAGCAAACAGG
rnacentral:rRNA from 1 species